ensembl:processed_transcript Gm15411 predicted gene 15411
ACAGUCAGGGAAAAGUCGCGGUUUCACCCAUGGAGCACGCAGGAGAGAAGCUUGCAGUACAGCGGGGUUCGGGGCUCAGACCAUGGGAGCCUGCAGGACCCGAGCUGUGCCUCAGAGCCGUGCGAGGUCUGGACUCUGCCUCGGGAAUUGGAGUUCUCCGGAGUAAAACCCACGAAGAGCACCACAGGAGGCUGCGGGAUCUGGGGAAGCCCUGCUCCCCGGGAUCCCACGGAGACUUCCAGGAGCGUGGAAUCGAUGGACAGACUGACGGACACAAAGGCCAGGCUCUGGGAGGUCUAGGACUCCGUGGCCGCCCCGCCUCCCCCAGCCUCCCUCCCCUUCCCCCACUACCUGAGGCUCUGAAGCUUCCCGCUUCCUGGCUGUAACUGAGAUCUGGCAGCUCUCGCUCUGUGCCAAUGACUGGCUGCGUAACCGAACUCAGGCCUCACAUGAGAGACGCUUGCUCUCACAUCGUUCAAGGGAGAAGCUUGCCCUGAUAGUAUCUACGGAUUGACAUCCCGAUACCAACACCUUCCAUGCUCACACCGCACCCCCGGGUGCCCCUCACUUCCUCUGCAUGGCUGGGCGGCCUCUCACAGCUGUGUUCCCUCAUUCCACCUGCGAGUGGGGAAAAAUCAAUAUUUUCGAGGAAUGAAUGGACAUGUCUUUCUCUGUCAGAUCUCUCUCUCUCCAGUGGCCAAAAAGCUGAGGAGGGCAGGGAUGCACCCACGAAGGCCUCGGGUACCAUCAAACCAAAGCUAAAGGACAGGAAGAUGGCAUUGUGGGCUUUUCAUCUCCAAGGACAUUGAAGGGGUCAUCUUCAAAGAACUUAUCGUUCCAAAACAGGCCAAAGACUGUUUGAGAUUACCAGAGGCUAGUAAUAUUAUGUGGUAGGAUAUUGUCGCUAUACAACUUGGUGUGUUGACAUUUUAUGCAGACAAGUGAGCGGCAUGGAGAACAUUUACACAGCUUCCUGACUGUUGUGUCCACCGGGUCUCCAGAGCCUUUUCGUCUUUCCAGUGAAGUUUCUUACCUGCCAAACACAGGUUUCUCUCCGCGCUUUCCCCUCCCUAAGCCUCCAGGCACCGCGUUCUCCUCUAGACUCCUCAUAGAGGGAGAACUGUAUAACAACCACAGGGAGUGAUAGAGUCCAUUUGCUUAGCGCGGUGUCCAGGUUCUUCCAUGCUGCGCCAGAAUCUUCUUCCUUGUCAAGGUUUGGUUAGCUACACCUUUCGGUUGAUGUGCUACAAACAAACAAACCUACAACCAAAAGCAGCUUACGGAAGAAAGAGGUUUUGGUUGUUGUUUUGUGUUGUGUUUGUUUUGUUUGUUGUUGGUUUUCUUGCUUCGGGCUUCUGGUCCCUGAGGAACCAGAGCCCAUCAUGUUUAGGAGGCAUGGAGAUCUUGGACCACCAGCAGAGAGUGGGCCAGCCUAUAAACUCCGAAACCCCACCCUCGGUGACAUGUCCUCUCCAGCAAGCCUGCAUGCUUUCUCAAACAUCGCCACGGCUGAGGACCAGGUAUUCAAAUGGCUGAGCCUAUUUCACUCAAACCACCACAAGGCCGGAUAUUUAGCAUAUUAUAUUUCCUAGCCUCACCUUGUUUCCUAUCCAUCCAAGAACGGGCACUUGGGAUAACGCAAACGAUGCUGCAAAGACCGAGCAUACAGAUGAUCCUUUAUGUCUUUUGAGGCUAGGCCCUGCUGUAGUUUGAAUAUGAGAAGCUCCUUCCAAAGGUCCUGUUUGGCCCAGUCAAAGCAAGGGUUUCUCUCUACACCUUUCAGCAGUAAAUAUGAACGGUGUUGAGAUCACAUCAACCACACCUGAUCCCCAGGCACUUUGGGCAGGCCAGUGGGAUCCUCCGCAGGCGCCUUGCAGGUUGGCUAUGGAGGAGCAGGGAUAGGAUGCUUCCUUGGACUCUAUGCUUCCUUGGACUCUCAAGCUUGAGGCACAGUUCACGCUAGAACACACCUGUCAUUCUCCUAGUCCUGCUGCCAAGAGCAACCAGACCCUUAUAAAUGAAGGUGCAUGACAGCCUCCUGAGGCUGACUUGAAGGGUCCCUAAGAAACGAGGUCGCACCUGAGCCUUCCAGCAAAGGUUGAAUUCUUGUUCUCCCAUGUGUUUCAGUUACCUUUCUGUUGCUAUGGUAAAAAUACCAUAAGCAAGGCACCUUAGAGAAGGAAAAACAAAACAUAUUUGGGCUUCAGAUUCAAGAGUCCAAUAGAAGGGGGCAGAGCCCCAGGGGCAGGAGCAAGAAGCUGUGCGCUCACAUCUGGAGGCACAGCACAAAGCAGACAAAGUGAGCUGCAAACGGCAGCGUGGAGUCUUUAAAUCCUCCAAGCCCCUUCAGAGUGACACACUUACCCCAUCCAGGCAGUACCUCCUGAACUCCAAAAGCACCAUGACAAAUCCAUGAGCUUGUCGGGGGUGGGGGUGGGGUGNNNNNNNNNNGGGAGGGGGCGGCAUUCUUGUUCAAACCACCACACCGUGAGUCAGCUGGCACAUCCGUGAGUCUUUCGAGCCAGUAGAGCAGGGCCCUUGGCAAUGCCAGGAGAACAGAAAGGGGCCUCUCAGACUGCACUAGCUACUUCAGUCUGGGCCAGGCCAGGCCAGGCUGGGCCCUGGAGAUCUCUGAAGUAAAACCCCAAGAAGGCAGGCUUGCUCUGUCUGUCUGUCUGUCUGUCUGCCUGUCUGUCUCUGGUUGUUACUCCUGCUAUCGAGGCUCCUGCAGUAACAGCUAGCAGGCUGUGGAAUGAAUUCACCACUGAGAACUUCUUGGCCUGGGCUGGAGAAAGGGUCGCCUCAAAGGAAGAGACAGGUAUGGGGACCUCCCUCAGCAGUCCCACCUGGGGAGGGCAUCUGUCCUACUCAGUUGUGUGGUUUUUUUUCCCUCUCUGCCCAUCUCUUGUAAUUGUCAACAAGGAGAAAGCUAAACAUUGCAGGGCUCCCUUUGCAGGGACGUUGGACAGUUCUAAGACGCACACAGUAAAGAUAUCUUGGUGGGGGGAAAGGCCCUCUGGAGGCUAAUCUGCAUAUAUUUUCAUUCAUAUGCAUGCAUAUAAUGUCUCCUAUGAAGCUUCUUCCAGACGCUGAAAAUAAAAAUUCAACUGUUAAUAUUUUACAAAUUAAAGGCAGGAGGAGCCACAAAAGACCUUUUCAUUUGCAGUUUAAAUUUAAAACUAACCAUAGAGCCUUUUUCUUUUCCCUUCCUUCUUCCCUCUCUUCCUCUCUCUGGGUUUAAUCCUAAGAGCUUUAAUACAUGGAAGCCAAACACUCUUACUAUUGUAUUAGAACCUUAAUACUGGGUGGGGGAUAGAUUGUAGGGUGGCGUUGGGGGGUGGGGGAGACGAGGACGACGACGACACAGGUUCUCAUAGUGUAUCCCAGGCUGGCCAGGAACUUGCUAUGUAAACUAGGUUGGCUUCAAGAUCACAAAUUUCUAUGUGCCUCUGCUUCCAGGAGUGCUGGGAUUAAAAGUAUAUGCCUCC